GUGAAAUGCUUUAGUGACUGCUCCGCCACAGUAAUUACAAAACUACAAAAUAGUUAAAAAAUAUAUUAUACAACAAAAUAUAAAAAGUUUUUAAAAGUAAGAGGUUAAAACCGCUAAAAAAACUGCAAAAUAAAUAGAAAUGGGUAAAACGUUGUCGGAGCAGUCGUGACGGCAGCCGACCUCACCGUAAUUGACGCUGUAGAAGAGGAAUAACAUCGUGGGAAAGACAAAAAGAAACUGGAAAGAUCAAGAAAAGCUUUGGGUGACUUGUGCAGAGUAGCUGAAGUGUUCUCUUCACGCAGAAGCCGUCGAUCAGCAGGGUGGUUCUGAUGGAAACCUGUUUAACCACCCGAGGUUAAGGAUUGAAGUCGAGACGACCGUGCAAACGAUGCUGCUCCUGCCGGAUGUGACGAGCCUGGAGUAUUUGCACCAAGAAUGACAAGAACUCACUACAGACUUCAUUACAUUCUGAACUGACUAAUAACUCUAUUAUUAUUAAUAACUAUUAUUAUUUAUUUACUUAUUGCCAGUUAUAACUUUUAGUUCAUUUAAUUCUGUUUGUAUGAUUUGUGUAAAUCCUAUUUAUUUAAAGUAUCCUCCAGGCCACCCAAGAAGUAUGGAACCUGCUGAGUCUGGUUCCUCUCAAGGUUUCUUCCUGUAAAUUUCAGGGAGUUUUUACUUGCCACCGUCACCCUCGGCUUGCUCAACAGGGGGUUUUGUAUCUGUUGGUCCUGGAUUCUGUAAAG